GUACGCGAGCUGGGUUUAGAACGUCGUGAGACAGUUCGGUCCCUAUCUUCCGGGGUCGAAAGAAGGAUGAGGAGAGCUGCCCCUAGUACGAGAGGACCGGGGUGGACGAACCUCUAGUGUUCCAGUUGUUCAGCCGUGAGCAUUGCUGGGUAGCUACGUUCGGACAGGAUAACCGCUGAAAGCAUCUAAGUGGGAAGCCCCCUCCAAGAUAAGCCUUCUCUUUCGUAAGAACUAAAGGGCCGUGGAAGACCACCACGUUGAUAGGCCGGGUGUGGAAGCGCAGCAAUGCGUGGAGCUAACCGGUACUAAUCGCCCGUGAGGCUUGACAUAUAU
rnacentral:rRNA from 1 species